rnacentral:rRNA from 1 species
AUACGGAGGAUCCAAGCGUUAUCCGGAUUUAUUGGGUUUAAAGGGAGCGUAGGUUGACAUAUAAGUCAGCUGUGAAAGUUUACGGCUCAACCGUGAAAUUGCAGUUGAUACUGUAUGUCUUGAGUGUACAAGAGGUGGGCGGAAUUCGUGGUGUAGCGGUGAAACGCUUAGAUAUCACGAAGAACUCCAAUUGCGAAGGCAGCUCACUGGGGUACAACUGACACUGAGGCUCGAAAGUGUGGGUAUCAAACAGGAUUAGAUACCCUGGUAGUCCACACAGUAAACGAUGAAUACUCGCUGUGUGCGAUAUACAGUAAGCGGCCAAGCGAAAGCAUUAAGUAUUCCACCUGGGGAGUACGCCGGCAACGGUGAA